rnacentral:rRNA from 2 species
AGAGUUUGAUCAUGGCUCAGGAUGAACGCUAGCGGCAGGCUUAACACAUGCAAGUCGAGGGGCAUCACGAGUAGCAAUACUUGGUGGCGACCGGCGCAAGGGUGCGUAACGCGUGAGCAACAUGCCCGUAUCAGGGGGAUAAUCCAGGGAAACUUGGUCUAAUACCCCAUAGCAAUUGAAGGAGGCAUCUUCUUUGAUUUAAAGCUUUGGUGGAUACGGAUUGGCUCGCGUGACAUUAGCUAGAUGGUAAGGUAACGGCUUACCAUGGCUACGAUGUCUAGGGGUUCUGAGAGGAAGGUCCCCCACACUGGAACUGAGACACGGUCCAGACUCCUACGGGAGGCAGCAGUGAGGAAUAUUGGACAAUGGAUGGAAAUCUGAUCCAGCCAUGCCGCGUGCAGGAAGACGGCCCUAUGGGUUGUAAACUGCUUUUAUAUGGGAGCAAUAAGACCUACGUGUAGGUCGAUGAGAGUACCAUAUGAAUAAGCACCGGCUAACUCCGUGCCAGCAGCCGCGGUAAUACGGAGGGUGCAAGCGUUAUCCGGAUUUAUUGGGUUUAAAGGGUGCGUAGGCGGUUUGAUAAGUCAGCGGUGAAAUAUUUCAGCUUAACUGGAAGGGUGCCGUUGAUACUGUCGAGCUUGAAUUUAGUUGCUGUGGGUGGAAUGUGUGGUGUAGCGGUGAAAUGCAUAGAUAUCACACAGAAUAUCGAUUGCGAAGGCAGCUCACAAAGCUAAUAUUGACGCUGAUGCACGAAAGUGUGGGGAUCAAACAGGAUUAGAUACCCUGGUAGUCCACACUGUAAACGAUGAUAACUCGCUGUCGGCGAUACACAGUCGGUGGCCAAGCGAAAGCGAUAAGUUAUCCACCUGGGGAGUACGACCGCAAGGUUGAAACUCAAAGGAAUUGACGG